GCAGGCAAGCGCUUGAAUACAUUAGCAUGGAAUAAUGAAAUAGGACGUUUGAUCUUAUUUUGUUGGUUUCUAAGAUUGACGUAAUGAUUAAUAGGGAUAGUUGGGGGCAUUAGUAUUCAAUUGUCAGAGGUGAAAUUCUUGGAUUUAUUGAAGACUAACUACUGCGAAAGCAUUUGCCAAGGAUGUUUUCAUUAAUCAAGAACGAAAGUUAGGGGAUCGAAGACGAUCAGAUACCGUCGUAGUCUUAACCAUAAACUAUGCCGACUAGGGAUCGGAUGAUGUUAAUUUUUUAAUGACUCAUUCGGCACCUUACGGGAAACCAAAGUGUUUGGGUUCCGGGGGGAGUAUGGUCGCAAGGCUGAAACUUAAAGGAAUUGACGGAAGGGCACCACCAGGGGUGGAGCCUGCG
rnacentral:rRNA from 1 species